rnacentral:rRNA from 1 species
UACGAAGGGGGCAAGCGUUGUUCGGAAUGACUGGGCGUAAAGGGCGCGUAGGCGGUUCGUUGCGUCAGAUGUGAAAGCCCCGGGCUCAACCUGGGAACUGCAUUUGAUACGGGCGAGCUUGAAUCCAAGAGAGGGUGGUGGAAUUCCCAGUGUAGAGGUGAAAUUCGUAGAUAUUGGGAAGAACACCAGUGGCGAAGGCGGCCACCUGGCUUGGUAUUGACGCUGAGGCGGCGAAAGCGUGGGGAGCAAACAGG